UAAGGAAUUAAAUUCCUCAUGUCAUUUGAGAUUUGACAGCGCCACACCUGCUUUGAAAACUUUGGUUUGCUUCGUGUCUCUUUCGCACGCUCGGCUGUCAAGCUUGUUUUGGUUUCGUGUAAAAAUGAAUGACGACGUGGAGCUGAAGAGAUUUUGGAGGAGGACGAUCCAAACGUGCAUUGACGGAAAAGUUGCAGCCGGCGGAGUGGAUUACUUUAACCAGUAGAUGGUUAAGUGCGGUUUCACCUAUGACAAGAUCCUGGAACGCGCUUUGCCGGAGUGUUAUGCUGGUGGUGGCUUGCGAUAGCGAUGCCUUCAACAAAUCGGCAUCGGGGGAAAUAAAUUGCAACUUCUGUGCAACCGUAAACUGCACUACGAGCGCUGUGAUGACAACGCCGCUCUGCGGUGCACUAGAGCUAGGGUGCUGGACUGAGGCAGGUUCGGGAAUGGGUGACACGGAAAAGCAUUCAGGAGUAGUCCAUUAUAAUUUCAUCAGAGUAACCUACUUGGAGUGGCUUUUAUCUACGUUAGGUGGUACUUUUUGGUAGAUUGCAUUGAAAAGAAGAAAAUAAAAUAUCUCA